rnacentral:rRNA from 1 species
AUAACAGUUAGAAAUGACUGCUAAUACCGCAUAAGCGCACAGGAUUGCAUGAUCCCGUGUGAAAAACUCCGGUGGUAUGAGAUGGACCCGCGUCUGAUUAGCUGGUUGGUGGGGUAACGGCCUACCAAGGCGACGAUCAGUAGCCGACCUGAGAGGGUGACCGGCCACAUUGGGACUGAGACACGGCCCAAACUCCUACGGGAGGCAGCAGUGGGGAAUAUUGCACAAUGGGGGAAACCCUGAUGCAGCAACGCCGCGUGAGUGAAGAAGUAUUUCGGUAUGUAAAGCUCUAUCAGCAGGGAAGAAAAUGACGGUACCUGAGUAAGAAGCCCCGGCUAACUACGUGCCAGCAGCCGCGGUAAUACGUAGGGGGCAAGCGUUAUCCGGAUUUACUGGGUGUAAAGGGAGCGUAGACGGCGAUGCAAGUCUGAAGUGAAAGCCCGGGGCUCAACCCCGGGACUGCUUUGGAAACUGUAUGGCUGGAGUGCUGGAGAGGCAAGCGGAAUUCCUAGUGUAGCGGUGAAAUGCGUAGAUAUUAGGAAGAACACCAGUGGCGAAGGCGGCUUGCUGGACAGUAACUGACGUUGAGGCUCGAAAGCGUGGGGAGCAAACAGGAUUAGAUACCCUGGUAGUCCACGCUGUAAACGAUGAAUGCUAGGUGUUGGGGAGCAAAGCUUCUCGGUG